UGUUUCUUAUGUUCUGCUGCUCCUCAGUGUUCCCCUGAAGGUGAGAGUUGGCUGCAUUCCUUCCUGAAGGGCUAUGCCAGUUGUGGGUUUGGGCCUUUGCCAAGGCCUCAGUGAAGAAACAAGUCUGCUAAAAAUACAUGAAAUAAAAAAUCUAACAACAGAAAGAGCAGGCAGAGGUGCCAUAGAUGCACAUGUCCUGUCUUCUUUAGAGCUCUUGUGUACAGCUUGACCAAAAUCUGGGCUGAAAGAUACUGAGAAGCAAAGGCAAUCCAUGUAGUUUAUGUUGAAACUCAGUUACCUCUCAGUCAACCUUUACCAUCUUGUUGAAAGGAGAUUGUUCUUAAUUUUCAGCCAAGUAUUCCUGGGCCAACUCAGAUACAAUGUCACAGCAAACAGGGGUAUGUCUCUCAAGCUUUUUUUCUUUCUUUUCAGACUAUGGUGUCUCCUUUCAAGUCUAGCGGUUAAAUCUUUGUUAGGAAGCUGUCUUUUACCACAUACUUUUACCUAGAUAUUGAUGCAUAUUUUUUCUUCACUUCAGAUAAACUUGUUUUGAAAUCAUCUAAUUUAAAUGGUGCAAAUGUUAUCUACUUGCUUACUACUCUUAUUUCAAAGUACACCCUUGAACCAUAUUAUAUUUUGAAAAUAAAAACUCCUAGCAGGACCAUAAUAUCUAUUAUUAACUUCUAACUUCCAGCACUUUCAACAUUCCUUCAUGACACUAUUGAUAAUCUAAGCAAAUGUCCUCAGUUUCCCUUGACACUGUAAUGAGUAAUUCACUAUGUGUUAUCUCUUCUCCAUGGUUUGAAAUUAGAAGCUUUAUCUCCAUCUAUAAGAUGUGCAACAUUUCUUUCUGACAGAUACAGUUCAUAUAUUCAAGCUACCCCACCG
rnacentral:lncRNA from 1 species